rnacentral:rRNA from 1 species
GGAACUGCGCUUGAUACUGAUUGUCUUGAGUCCGAGAGAGGGUGGUGGAAUUCCCAGUGUAGAGGUGAAAUUCGUAGAUAUUGGGAAGAACACCGGUGGCGAAGGCGGUCACCUGGCCCGCAACUGACGCUGAGGCGCGAAAGCGUGGGGAGCAAACAGGAUUAGAUACCCUGGUAGUCCACGCCCUAAAUGGUGAGUGCUAGAUGUCG